rnacentral:tRNA from 1 species
GCGGCUGUGGCGGAACUGGCAGACGCACCAGCUUGAGGGGCUGGCGCUAGCAAUAGCGUGGUGGUUCGAAUCCACUCAGCCGCACCA